UACAGAGGUCCCAAGCGUUGUUCGGAUUCACUGGGCGUAAAGGGUGCGUAGGCGGUCGGGCAAGUCUGAUGUGAAAGCCCUUGGCUCAACUGAGGAAGUGCAUCUGAAACUGGCGAGCUAGAGUAUGUAAGAGGGUCGCGGAAUUCCCGGUGUAGAGGUGAAAUUCGUAGAUAUCGGGAGGAACACCGGUGGCGAAGGCGGCGACCUGGGACAAUACUGACGCUGAGGUGCGAAAGCGUGGGGAGCAAACAGG
rnacentral:rRNA from 1 species